GAUGAAGAACGCAGCAAAAUGCGAUAAGUAAUGUGAAUUGCAGAAUUCAGUGAAUCAUCGAAUCUUUGAACGCACAUUGCGCCCGCCAGUAUUCUGGCGGGCAUGCCUGUCCGAGCGUCAUUUCAACCCUCGCGCCCAUCUGGGCUGCGGUGUUGGGGACCGGCCUGCCCCCCCGGGGCGCGCCGCCCCCCAAAUUCAGUGGCGGUCUCGCUGCAGCCUCCCUUGCGUAGUAGCACACCUCGCACCGGAGCGCAGCGCGGCCACGCCGUAAAACCCCCGACCCCCAUGAGUUUGACCUCGGAUCAGGUAGGAAUACCCGCUGAACUUAAGCAUAUCAAUAAGCGGAGGA
rnacentral:misc_RNA from 1 species